GGAUAGAAAUCUAGACUGUCUAAGGGCAGAUCAGUGAGCUGCAUCUUGGUGAAUGAUCCCUGCAAACCACAAAGUUCUUCCUCUGCUGAGCCAAGUUCUGAGGCAGAAGAUUCAGCGUGCCUUCAGAAUUUCAGAGGCAACCAAGCUAAAAAUAUCAUCUCUCAGAAAUCCUUGCAGACACGGUUCCAGAUGUGACUGAGCUUGGGUAAGUCAUAGGAGACAUUGAUUUGGAAAUAAAUUGGAAGAGAGGCAGAACAUGAGAUCCCAAGUUUCUUGGCAUGGAUGGCAGCAGAAGUGGCAUUCUCCUCAAGGCUGACGUUGUCUUGGUGGCUUCCAGACUGUGGCAGAGUAAGCCUCUCUCUUGGCAACUCAGUUCUGUGGCGUGAUUUUUGGAGUCAUUUUGGAGGCUUAGAGUGUUUCUUUAGCUCCUUCAACAAUUCUUUAAACUACACAAAUCUAUACCUAAUCCCUUUGUGUUUAUUUUGUGUAUAAUAAAAAAUGCUAAUUUAUUUGAGUUUAAACUAGUUAGGUAACAU
rnacentral:lncRNA from 1 species